AUCGAACGCUGGCGGCGGGCCUAACACAUGCAAGUCGAGCGGAGCGGCGGACGGGUGAGGAAUGCCUAGGAAUCUGCCCGGUAGUGGGGGAUAACGUCCGGAAACGGGCGCCAAUACCGCAUACUAUCAGAUGAGUCUAGGUCGGAUUGGCUAGUUGGUGGGGUAAAGGCCUACCAAGGCGACGAUCCGUAACUGGUCUGAGAGGAUGAUCGGUAACACUGGAACUGAGACACGGUCCAGACUCCUACGGGAGGAAGCAGUGGGGAAUAUUGGACAAUGGGCGAAAGCCUGAUCCAGCCAUGCCGCGUGUGUGAAGAAGGUCUUCGGAUUGUAAAGCACUUUAAGUUGGGAGGCGUUACCAACAGAGUAAGCACCGGCUAACUUCGUGCCAGCCGCCGCGGUAAUAC
rnacentral:rRNA from 1 species